GAUGAACGCUGGCGGCGUGCCUAAUACAUGCAAGUCGAGCGAACAGACGAGGAGCUUGCUCCUCUGACGUUAGCGGCGGACGGGUGAGUAACACGUGGAUAACCUACCUAUAAGACUGGGAUAACUUCGGGAAACCGGAGCUAAUACCGGAUAAUAUGUUGAACCGCAUGGUUCAACAGUGAAAGACGGUUUUGCUGUCACUUAUAGAUGGAUCCGCGCUGCAUUAGCUAGUUGGUAAGGUAACGGCUUACCAAGGCAACGAUGCGUAGCCGACCUGAGAGGGUGAUCGGCCACACUGGAACUGAGACACGGUCCAGACUCCUACGGGAGGCAGCAGUAGGGAAUCUUCCGCAAUGGGCGAAAGCCUGACGGAGCAACGCCGCGUGAGUGAAGAAGGUCUUCGGAUCGUAAAACUCUGUUAUUAGGGAAGAACAAAUGUGUAAGUAACUAUGCACGUCUUGACGGUACCUAAUCAGAAAGCCACGGCUAACUACGUG
rnacentral:rRNA from 1 species